GCUCAACGGAAGCCGAGAGGUUCCACAGGGCUACGGAGAGGCGUGCUCCGCGGCCCGCCCCCCCCCCCCCCGCCGCCACCCCCGAGGCCGUUUGCGCGCGCGCCGCCUAGAGGCGCAAGUGUGUACUGCAGGCUCCCGUCGUGAGCUCCAGCACUGAUUGUAAGGUCUGAAUAUACGCAAGCAUCUGUCACGAUGUCUCCUAAGAUAUCGGUUCGUGUAUGGGGAAAAAAAAGCCUGUAUAAACAUGCCCUGGGAACAGACUCACCUUCCGGCUCACUGAUGGCUCAGCACCCCACUCACCAGCGGCAAUCGGGCCUCUCUGUUUAGCCCUGGCUGUCCUGGAGCUCAC